UUCACCUUUUCUCCUUCAUUCACGUUAGAAAGAAACACUUCACCUUUCUGACGUUUCGUUCCUUUUCUCCUUCUGAGCCGUUUCUCUAGGGUUUCAAAACCAUUUAAAGCCUUCCGCAGAGAAUUUUAUGUAUCUGGCCAUCUCUGCUUCAGUCAAGGAUCCGCUGCAAUCACGUUUGACAUGGGAAUUCAGGUCUUCUGCAAUCUCCAUGUCCGCUUGGAAGCCAUGGAGUAAUUGAGUUGAAGUAACUAUCCGUGUUCUUCUUCCCUUCAGUUUCUCGCUGCAAUCAUCUUCUGAAUUGCAUCACGUUCUUCUUCCCUUCAGUUUCUCUCUAGGGUUCCGAAAUUGACAGAUUUGGGAGAGAGGCUUUCUGCAAUUUUCCAGGUUAUAUCAAUGUUAAUGAAGACUGUGGGAGGGCCCUUUUCUAUUGGUUCUUUGAAGCUCAAUUUGAAUCGUGCAAAAAGCCUCUACUUCUCUAGCUCUAUGGAGGUCUAUGGUUAUCUAUUUGCUAAAUAUAUACUGAUUCUGCAGAAGCCAAUAUUCCUUCUGUUCUAGAUUAUGUGGGAACUUUCAUUGAGUGAACUAAAUAUCAAGGGAGCUACCCUAUCCAGUCAACUUAUGAGGUGAAAGAACAAUCCCUGCUCCAUCAGAGGAGAUAUCAGAAAAUUAGAGCACCGCAUGGCUCUCAUUCUUCACCAUAGCAAUACAAACACCAAACGCUCCACGGUCCAUCAAGUUGUUGUUACAAACACAGAGUGCUUUGUUCGGUUCCUCAAGAUGAACCUGUCCUCCAAGCAAGCUUCCCUGUGCUUCUGUUUUAGACAUCCAAAUGGUUCAAUUUCUUCUCCUCUACCAUCCGAACGAUUUCUCAAGUUUAACCUGUCUUCCAAGCCAUGUUCGCCUCCCCUUUUACCCAAAUGGUUUUCGAUCGCUAAGGUUUAGGAUCCCCUCCAUGCUUCUGUCACUUUGACCUGCCACCUUCAUGGCCUGGAUCAGAUGAGUAACUCUGUUGUUGUUCACUUCCCCUUCUUUGGUUUCAUUUUGUGUUUCACCACCAUAAUGAUUAUUUUGGUAUUUAUUGGUGACUCUCUUCUGCAUUCUCUGAAACCAGGGCUUGCAGGGUCAAAAAUUAACCCCUUUCAGAGACCAGAGAAAUGGUUUGAUGGUGGCAGGGUAUUGGUCGUGUGAUGCGCAGAUCACUGGCAGCGCGGAGAUGUAGGUGGAAGUGCUUAUUUCACUCUCCUCCAAUUUACACCCAACUUUAUGGGAAAACACUGUCCCAGAUGGCGAGAAAAAUGAAAUCAGAGAGAACCAAAGCUGAAGAGAAGAUCCUUCUUCAUGCAUAGUGCAUUAAGAAGAUCCUUCUUCAUUUCCUUCCUACUAUUAGAAACUUUGAUAAGAUCCUUCUUAACUAUAUGUAUAUCUUUUCAACUUUUGAGUUGUAAUGAAGGGAUUUUUUUAAGUGUGUUUUCUUUGCAGUUA